CGCCCUACGGGGGGCAGCAGUGGGGAAUAUUGGACAAUGGGCGAAAGCCUGAUCCAGCCAUGCCGCGUGUGUGAAGAAGGUCUUCGGAUUGUAAAGCACUUUAAGUUGGGAGGAAGGGCAGUAAGUUAAUACCUUGCUGUUUUGACGUUACCGACAGAAUAAGCACCGGCUAACUUCGUGCCAGCAGCCGCGGUAAUACGAAGGGUGCAAGCGUUAAUCGGAAUUCCUGGGCGUAAAGCGCGCGUAGGUGGUUCGUUAAGUUGGAUGUGAAAGCCCCGGGCUCAACCUGGGAACUGCAUCCAAAACUGGCGAGCUAGAGUAUGGCAGAGGGUGGUGGAAUUUCCUGUGUAGCGGUGAAAUGCGUAGAUAUAGGAAGGAACACCAGUGGCGAAGGCGACCACCUGGGCUAAUACUGACACUGAGGUGCGAAAGCGUGGGGAGCAAACAGGAUUAGAUACCCGGGUAGUCCCC
rnacentral:rRNA from 1 species